GUCCCUGUAGCACAAUGGAUAGUGCGUUGAGCUUCCGAUUCGAAGACCGUGGGUGCGAAUCCCACCUGACU